CAACCCUCAAGCGCUGCUUGGUAUUGGAUGUCACUACUGUAGUGCAUCUCAAAGUUAUUGUUGGUGCCAGCAUUCAGCUUCUGGUGUAGUAAAUUUCUCGCCAUGGAGUUUAUGUCUGACUGCCAGAACCCCUAAUUAUCAAA
rnacentral:misc_RNA from 1 species